rnacentral:lncRNA from 1 species
AUUGAACAAAAGUAAACAAAAUAGAACACGGAAGACAAAAUUGAGCAACCAAAAUUAGAACAAAAUAAAAAAAAAUAAGAAAAUAUAAAAUCCAAUUGUAUUAAGAAAAAGGGUCCAAAGAAAAAUUUGACAAGUUGCCUCAAAAGGCCCUAGCUAGUCAUAUUUAUACUUUAUUCCACUACCUUGGACUUUCUAAAAUAUUCUUAGAUGAUCGACCUCUUUUAGAUAACCACCUUAAACUCCUUCUAGAAGAUUCCAUGGUCGAUCUUACUU